rnacentral:rRNA from 1 species
UACGAAGGGGGCUAGCGUUGCUCGGAAUCACUGGGCGUAAAGCGCACGUAGGCGGAUCUUUAAGUCAGGGGUGAAAUCCUGGAGCUCAACUCCAGAACUGCCUUUGAUACUGGCGACCUUGAGUCCGGGAGAGGUGAGUGGAACUGCGAGUGUAGAGGUGAAAUUCGUAGAUAUUCGCAAGAACACCAGUGGCGAAGGCGGCUCACUGGCCCGGUACUGACGCUGAGGUGCGAAAGCGUGGGGAGCAAACAGG